CACAUCACCCGCACAUCACAUCUCAUUUCCUCCCUCCCAUGGUUGCACACAUCACCUGCACACAGCACGGUUUCGGGCUGGUCGCUCAUCAGGCAUGGGCCCGCGGGCGCCAUAUCAGCUCAGUUGGUCGCAGGGUCACACCGGCUCCACCCACCAGGGCGCACGCAUGCCGUCAGCCCGCACCUGCAGCAGGGUGCAUCGGGCCCACCACUGGGCACCUGCAGCACCACGGGCCCCAGCACUCCUCACGGGCAGGCCAGCCAGUCAGGGCACAUCUUCCCACCACAUGGGCGCACACAGCCUGGCAUUGGCAGCCACACGCCGCGUUGCAGUGCACAGGCACAGGUUGUUCCGGCAGUCGUCAAGCACACUCUNGGUUGGGUCACAGGGGGCACAGCACACCCACAGGUCACCCAGGUUCAGUCCACACUUGGGCGUUGCUCACCCUUUGACACCGGGUCACCCUUUUCAUUUCCAGCACACAGGCCCNACGGGACUUCAACAACUCACGGUGGCCCCAGGCCCAGCCCCGGCGGGGUUCCACAUCCCGGUUCAGGGUUGGG
rnacentral:rRNA from 1 species